rnacentral:rRNA from 1 species
AGCGAACGCUGGCGGCAGGCCUAACACACGCAAGUCGAACGGAUCCUUCGGGAUUAGUGGCGGACGGGUGAGUAACACGUGGGAACGUGCCCUUUGGUUCGGAACAACUCAGGGAAACUUGAGCUAAUACCGGAUGUGCCCUUCGGGGGAAAGAUUUAUCGCCAUUGGAGCGGCCCGCGUCUGAUUAGCUAGUUGGUGAGGUAACGGCCCACCAAGGCGACGAUCAGUAGCUGGUCUGAGAGGAUGAUCAGCCACACUGGGACUGAGACACGGCCCAGACUCCUACGGGAGGCAGCAGUGGGGAAUCUUGCGCAAUGGGCGAAAGCCUGACGCAGCCAUGCCGCGUGAAUGAUGAAGGUCUUAGGAUUGUAAAAUUCUUUCAGCGGGGACGAUAAUGACGGUACCCGCAGAAGAAGCUCCGGCUAACUUCGUG